CCUACGGGGGGCUGCAGUGAGGAAUAUUGGUCAAUGGACGAGAGUCUGAACCAGCCAAGUAGCGUGAAGGAUGACUGCACUAUGGGUUGUAAACUUCUUUUAUCAAGGAAUAAAACGAGGCACGUGUGCCUUUUUGCAUGUACUUUAUGAAUAAGGAUCGGCUAACUCCGUGCCAGCAGCCGCGGUAAUACGGAGGAUCCGAGCGUUAUCCGGAUUUAUUGGGUUUAAAGGGAGCGGAGAGGGGUUGUUAAGUCAGUUGUGAAAGGCUGCGGCUCAACCGUAAAAUUGCAAUUGAUACUGGCAGUCUUGAGUACAGGUGAGGUAUGCGGAAUGCGUGGUGUAGCGGUGAAAUGCAUAGAUAUCACGAAGAACCCCGAUUGCGAAGGCAGCUUACUAAACUGUGACUGACAUUGAUGCACGAAAGUGUGGGUAUCAAACAGGAUUAGAUACCCCAGUAGUC
rnacentral:rRNA from 1 species